rnacentral:rRNA from 1 species
ACGAACGCUGGCGGCGUGCCUAAUACAUGCAAGUUGAGCGCUGAAGGUUGGUACUUGUACCAACUGGAUGAGCAGCGAACGGGUGAGUAACGCGUGGGGAAUCUGCCUUUGAGCGGGGGACAACAUUUGGAAACGAAUGCUAAUACCGCAUAAAGACUUUAAACACAAGUUUUAAGUUUGAAAGAUGCAAUUGCAUCACUCAAAGAUGAUCCCGCGUUGUAUUAGCUAGUUGGUGAGGUAAAGGCUCACCAAGGCGAUGAUACAUAGCCGACCUGAGAGGGUGAUCGGCCACAUUGGGACUGAGACACGGCCCAAACUCCUACGGGAGGCAGCAGUAGGGAAUCUUCGGCAAUGGACGAAAGUCUGACCGAGCAACGCCGCGUGAGUGAAGAAGGUUUUCGGAUCGUAAAACUCUGUUGGUAGAGAAGAACGUUGGUGAGAGUGGAAAGCUCAUCAAGUGACGGUAACUACCCAGAAAGGGACGGCUAACUACGUG